AAUCCCUCAAAGAAGCCAGAGAACAACUAGCCCUUUCCUCUGGGGCCCACAACUAUGAGAUAUUUCCCAAUUCUCCAGGCCACGGGAUAGUGUUCAACAAAGAAAAUCACUACAGAGAUAUGAAUUCCACUUCUAGGCCUGCCCAUAAAGCCUACCUUGCAAUUCUCUUCUCUUUCUUCCCCAUCCCCAGGCUGGAAGUGAAUACCCAAGGCAGCUUUGGAAGUCCCCAGAUGAAGACAGCAGGGCCAUCCUCUGGAUUGCUAGUUGACUGCAGGAAGCAUGAUCCACCCCACCCCACCUGUAUUCCCCACUGUUGGAGGAACAUUUUACAUGACUGAAGCAUAAAAAAUGAAUGAAGUAUCUUUUUCUGCUAAGCCACUGGGGGCGAUUGGAUUUUAAUUUGCUAUAACGGUUAGCUUUACCUUAACUAAUAUAAUAUCCUACUCAAAAUCUGGAAAAAUGAGUGUCUUCGUCAAGAAUAUCACUAUGCUCUGGGGGUUUCUGGGAACAGUUCUAAUCCUUGGACCAUCAGGAUUUAUGAUCAGCUCUCCUGCAACUUCUCAAAGGUCACAGUAAUGUCACAACCCAUGACUCUUUUCUUUUUUUUUUUUUCCUCUGCAGUAUUUCAUUGGCAGUGAGGGGAAGGAAGAAAAGGCAAGAAUUAUACCUGCACGAUAAAAGGAAAAAGGCAUUUUAUCAACUCCUCCCUUAAAAAAAAAUCUGACAUGUCUACAUAGAAAUUGAAUCCACAAAGGAGUGGUAAAGAGGAGAAAAGAACAUAAUUUAAUUUAUUCUCAGCUAACAGGAAACUGAAAUCCAUACGGCUUUCCUCUCUCCUGCAUGCAAGAAGGGUUGGAGAGCCACAUCUGUGAGAAAUAUGUUUUAUGUCAAACUGAUUAGGAGAGUCAAUAUUAGACAUAACCUCUUUCUCUUUAAGGGUAGGCAGGCACACUCCAUUAUCCAUUUAUUUCUCUGGUGGGGCUUAAAGGGAGGCCUUAAUCAACUUGCCUUAUAACCUAAAGGCAUUUGGAAGAAAAAUCUAUAUUUGUUUCCUUAGUCAGAUUGCUGAAGCGUGAAAUGGGAUGUCUUGUCCUGCUGCCUUUGGUGAAAAUGCCAUAUAUUCUGUUUAUUUAUUUGGAGGGGGAAAACAGGAGAUUUGUGGAAAACUUUUAUAUAUUGCCCACUGGCUCUGAGUGAUGUGGUUCAAAUGGCUAGAGAAAGAUAGACAGAUGCUUUCACGCAGAAAAGACUCGUACAGCAACUUUUCCCUUAAAACACAGGAAGACAGCCAUUGCAGUGGCAUCAACGCUAGAACAAGAAAAAUUGUUAAAUUAGUUCAUUUUCACCUAACUUCUUUGGGUAUCUUAAUUGGCAAGAUUACAAACACAAACUACAAACAUCAUCUGAAAAGUGUCUCACGGCUGAAUCAAAAAAAGGAAAAUGCAGGCUGGUGAGGACCUACACAAAGACCCCAGUCUCAGGACUGGAGGCCUGCUGGAAGGAAAUGUGGUGGAGAGGGAGAGGACAGAGGAAGAGCCUCCACUUGGGUUAACCUAGACCUAGCCUGGAGAUACGUAUAAAACUCUUCAUAGAAGGGAUUCUAUCGAGCUGCUCUGUCUACCUAGGGAAGUAUCUUUUCUCUGUGCCCUGUGUAUAGCACAUUGGCUGCCAGGAAGCUAAGAGAAGCAGGUUUAGAAAACUGAUCAUGGCAAAGCGGGGGAUUACGCAGCAGACAGGGCCCACCCCGUGAGCUCACCACAACUAUCAUUACACUCUGGAUGGCAAAACUUGUCCUGCUGCCUCUACUGACCCUGCAUGCUGGAUACUGGCCCCAGUGGCACUGCUGCAAUUAUCCUAACAGAUCCUUCCUGAUCGCAGCUUCUGUGCACCACUACCUAGGUCCCUAUUCAAAGUCUAGGGUGAAUACAUUUGACUAAUGAAGCCUGGGUCUUGUGCAAUGCCCUACUGCUUGCCAGGGGGUAAAUAAGGGAGUGUCUGGCCUUUGGACAUUUAGAGUGGAGGGAAAUUCAGCCUCCCAAAAAGAUUUCAACUGGAGAAUUCCCAAAACAUAAGAUCUCUAGCAACAGCCUGAAAAAUGACAAAAGCUCCCUACAAGGGGACCAUUCACUUGGCUCAACUGAACCAGGAGAAAUCUUUGGGGAAAGAGAAAUGAAGCACACCACCGGGCAUGGUGGCUCUUGUCUAUAAUCCCAGUACUUUCGGAGGCCAAGGCAGGAGGAUUCCUUGAGGCCAGGAGUUUGAGACUGGCCUGGGCAACAUAGCAAGACUCUACAUCUCCGAAAAGAAAAAAAUAAAUGACAGAUUAAUGGAAAGAAGGGAGGGAAAAAGCAAGACUAUGGAAAUGAUGUUAGGCAAAAAGCAAACUCGAGCAAUUUUCUUAUUCGAGUUUGAAAUGGGUCAUAAAGCAGUGGAGACAACUCAUAGGAUCAACGACGCAUUUGGUCUAGCAACUGCUAACAAACGUACAGUGGAGUGGUGGUUCAAGAGGUUUUGCAAAGGAGACAAGAGCCUUGAAGAUGAAGAGCUAGUGGCCAGCCAUUGGAAGUUGAAAAGGACCAAUUGAGAGUAAUCAUUGAAGCUGAUCCUCUUACAAUUACACCAGAAGUUGCUGAAGCAAUCAACGUCAACCAUUCUAUGGUCAUUUGGCAUUUGAAGCAAAUUGGAAAGGUGAAAAAGCUUGAUAAGUGGAUGCCUCAUGAGCUGAGCAAAAAUUUAAAAAUUGUCAUUUUGAAGUGUCAUCUUCUCUUAUGCUACACAGCGACACGAACCAUUUCUUGAUUGGAUUGUGACAUGUGAAAAAAUGUGGCUUUAACACAACUCCAAAGACCACCUCAGUAGUUGGACUGAGAAGAGGCUCCAAAGCACUUCCCAAAGCCAAACUUGCAGGAAAAAUAGGUCAUGCUCCCUGUUUGGUGGUCUGCUGCCUGUCUGAUCCACUACAACUUUCUGAAUCCUGGUAAAACCAUUACAUCUGAGAAGUAUGCUCAGCAAAUCAAUGAGAUGCACCAAAAAUUGCAACGCCUACAGUAGGCAUUGGUCAACAGAGAGGGCCCAGUUCUUUUCCAUGACAACACCUGACCAUACAUCACACAACCAAUGCUUCAAAACUUGAAUGAAUUGGGCUACAAAGUUUUGCCUCAUCCACCAUAUCACCUGACCUCUCGCCAACCAACCACCACUUCUUCAAGCAUCUCAACAACUUUUUGCAGGGAAAAUGCUUCCACAACCAGCAGGAUGCAGAAAAUGCUUUCCAAGAGUUGGUCAAAUCCCAAAGCAUAGAUUUUUAUGCUACAGGAAUAAACAAACAUACUUCUCUUUGGCAAAAAUGUGUUGACUGUAAUGGUUCCUAUUUUGAUUAAUAAAGAUGUGUUUGAGCCUAGUUAUAAUGAU